ensembl:antisense E130304I02Rik uncharacterized LOC115063843
AGAAGGCAAAGGCGCCUCGGCGGGACCCCCACCCCCAGCGGCACGGCGGGCCCGGGGUCUCCACAGACCCGGCGGAGGGACGACAGCACACACAGGGCCCUGGCGCUCGGGCUCGGGUGCGUGGCAGUGCCGCGGGCGUCACCGGCGAGGAGGAAGCGGGCGUCACCAGCGAGGCCGCACAUGGCCGGCGGCGCUCAAGCGGAGGGGCGGCCCGGGACGCGGUACCUGCGGUCGGGCGGCGGGCUGCUGCUCCUGCGAGCCUCCUUUGGCCGGCCGGGACCCCCACCGUACCCUCGCCCUCGUCCGCCUCGCUCCCGACUCUUUUCCCUCUCUUUCCCCCUUUUUGCCCCUUCCUCGGCCGUGGCUCCAAGAUGGCGGCGCCGAGACGGAUCACGUGAGCGGCGAGCGGGUCAGCUCCUGUGACAUUCACAGAAUCACCUUGCAGCGACUGCCUUGUGAUCAAGCUCUUGGUAGCAAGAAGCCUCAAAACCAGAGCUGCGGCGCUGGGAGAUUCUGACGGGAUCCCACAGGGAGAAGCACAAUUAAGAAUCUCAUGCAACAGAGCAUCCCUUUGUCCUUGUGAUUAGCGCAAGUGAGGACACUCAGCCUGGGCAGAAUAGUGCUGAUGCGGGUUCUCUGGAGUUUGGCUUUUUAUGUGCAUAGAGCCAUAUUUGCAGAUU